rnacentral:rRNA from 1 species
GAGCGCCGUAGCAAUACGGAGCGGCAGACGGGAGAGUAACACGUGGGAACGUGCCCUUUGGUUCGGAACAACCCAGGGAAACUUGGGCUAAUACCGGAUAAGCCCUUACGGGGAAAGAUUUAUCGCCGAAGGAUCGGCCCGCGUCUGAUUAGCUAGUUGGUGGGGUAAUGGCCCACCAAGGCGACGAUCAGUAGCUGGUCUGAGAGGAUGAUCAGCCUCACUGGGACUGAGACACGGCCCAGACCCCUACGGGAGGCAGCAGUGGGGAAUAUUGGACAAUGGGCGCAAGCCUGAUCCAGCCAUGCCGCGUGGGUGAUGAAGGCCCUAGGGUUGUAAAGCCCUUUCGGCGGGGAAGAUAAUGACGGUACCCGCAGAAGAAGCCCCGGCUAACUUCGUGCCAGCAGCCGCGGUAAU